UACGAAGGGGGCUAGCGUUUCUCGGAAUCACUGGGCGUAAAGCGCACGUAGGCGGCUUCUUAAGUCAGGGGUGAAAUCCUGGGGCUCAACCCCAGAACUGCCCUUGAUACUGAGGAGCUUGAGUCCGGGAGAGGUGAGUGGAACUCCGAGUGUAGAGGUGAAAUUCGUGGAUAUUUGGAAGAACACCAGUGGCGAAGGCGGCUCACUGGCCCGGUACUGACGCUGAGGUGCGAAAGCGUGGGGAGCAAACAGG
rnacentral:rRNA from 1 species